UUUAACAGAAUACGAAGUUCUGGUAAAAUGUACCCUUGAUGCCCUUCAAUGUGUUUCUAUAAAAGUAUUUGAACAUGUUUUAGUUCAGAUGUUCAUGUUUUAUGGUUUGCAUAGCAUUGUACUACACCGCUCUGAUAGCCUGAUAACCUUCCAUCUAAAUGACUCAAGUACGGAACGAAUUGGACACAAUUUUAGACGUCUUGAGAACUUUUAUAUUCUGGGUCAGCGUUUAUUCUAUCGUGAACCUCAUCAGAUUUCAGUAUUUGAUUUAAAAACAGAAAAAUCCAGAGUUAUUGUACCUUUGCAAUCACCCGGCGAUUCCAUUCUUAUCUACGCCAUAGAUAUGGG